rnacentral:rRNA from 1 species
CACGAAUUGAAUUAUGCUACGCAUGAUUUGGAGUUAGCAGCCGUAGUGCAUGCAUUGAAAACAUGGAGACAUUUCCUCAUUGGAAAUCAUUGUGAGGUGUACACGGAUCACAAGAGUUUGAAGUACAUUUUCACACAGAAGGAGUUGAGUAUCAGACAAAGGAGAUGGUUGGAGCUUAUCAAAGAUUAUGAUAUGAAAUUGCAUUAUUAUCCCGGGAAGGCUAAUGUAGUAGCUGAUGCAUUAAGCCGCAAGAGCCAUGUCAAUAGGUUAAUGAAGGGAGAAAUACCCAAGGAGUUAGCAGAUAAUCUUCAUGAACUAUGUUUGGAAAUAGUUUUGAGAGGCUAUGUAGCAGCACUAGAG